rnacentral:piRNA from 1 species
UACCAAAACCCAAAACCCAGAAUUGUGC